UUUAAUCAAGAAGGUUGGAGCAAGAGAUUCUCUGAUUGGCUUAUUUUUAAGAAAAACGUAUUCAGCCUUGCUCAGAAGAUUGUCGAAUGUUUCUCUCUGGGUUACUCGUGGUGGAACGUGAGCCACCUUGUCCAUCGUCUCGAAGAAGCGCCCCACAUUGGCAUCUGCCUUAGGAAUAGGAAACGCAUCGAUGAAGCCUGAAGCCAAAAAUCCCGAGUGACCAGUAUGGAAAUGGAAGGGGGAAUAUUUAGAUCCUUGAUCCAUUUGUACUGAAUUUCUCAGUCCACACAAAACAACAGGCAGAGCAUCCAAUUUUAAGUCUCUUCUAGUAUCCGUGCAAAUAGCCCAGUUUUAGGGAACUGUGGAACCGUUCAAUAAGCCCAUUUGAUUCAGGAUGAUAUGAUGUGGUAUUGCAUAUUUCUAUCGCCGACACUAUAGGCUUAUGAUCUGUGAAUUAAAAUUUUGUCCAUCCAAUGCCCAAAGAAAAUGUUUAAUGCUUUCCUUAAUACUAAGUAAUUCCCUAUCAAAAAUUUUAAUUUUUCUUUUGCGUUUCAGAUAAGGCUUUUGACCAAAAUGCUAGUGGUUGCCAGCGCCCAUUCAAUUCCUGUUCCCGAAGAGCUCCCAUCCAGUAUUAGACACAACUGUUAUAAUGGCUUAACAGUUAAUGAGUUGUCCCGGAAAGGUCUUGAGGAUAAACUGUGUUUAAUAACAGGAAAAGCUCUUUCACAUUAAUCAUUCCACAUGAAUUUAACUUUUUUCUUUAAAACUGGAUAUAACAGCACUGUCCAUUUUGACAAAUAUUGAUGAAUUGUGAAUAGAGCUGAGCCAUGCCUAACAAACUCUGUAAAAUAUCUUUCAAUUUUGGAGAAGAAAUUCUUACAAUAACUUCAACUUUCAAUUUAAGAGGUUUAAAACCCACCGGUGAAAUAAAAUGUCCAAGGAACUUAACAGAGUCCCUGAAAAACUCGGUAUUUUUCAAGAGAAAGUUCAUCUCUUGUUCUAGAAGCAAUCAAUAUAUCAUCAAGAUACACGAACACGUUUUUAAUUCCCCUCAAAACCGAAUGGAUGAGUCGUUGGAAUGUCGUGGCAGCGUUUUAUUCCCACACGGUAUUCUCAAGUACUCAUACAACCCAAAUGGUGUAAUGAUAGCUGGUUUACUGAUGGAGUCUUCACUUAUGAGUUGGCCACGAAAUCCCUUAAAUUUGGAAGAGGAUAUCGAUCUAGAUCCGUCAUGUUAUUGAAUUGACAAUAAUCACCACACAUUGGCGAGCCUCCUUUGCCUUUAGGUACUACAUGAAUCGCUGACAAAAAGUUUGAAGAAGAUGGACGAAUUAUUUCCUUGUUCAAAAGUCCAUCAAUUUCGUUUUUAACAAAAUUGAGUUUCACACCAUCCAGCUUGCGAGAUUUUUCAAAGCAGGGAGGGCCCUUAGUUUCGAUCUGAUGUUCAACUCCAUGAACUAGGUCGAUAUUAAUCUUGUAGAAAGGAAGAAAAUCGGCUCCUAAAAUAGGGUGGCCUCUGGAUAUGACGAUAAAUUUCCAUUGGAAAGUUCCUAGAUUUUCUAUUUGCCCCUUACAGUUUUAGUACCGAGAACUUCUACUGGAUUCCCUCCAUAACCAAAGAUAGGUCGGAUUAGGUAAUGGAAUUAAAAAAAGCAGAAACCGCAGGCUUAAAAGCUUGUGUACUAUUAGUGAUAAUGAUAAAAAUGAAGAAUAUGGGGAUUGAGUAUACGUACGUAUACUUUAUUUAAAUAUUUACACUUGUCACUUAAAACCAAUUUUUACAAUAAUAUUAUUCAAUUUUCUUGUAACAAGGGAAAAAAUAUAUUAAUUUAGAAAC
rnacentral:lncRNA from 1 species